GUCAAGGUCACAUUUUCAUGUGUACGAAAACGUGGUUUUUCGACAAGGUCAAAACCGGAAGGCUUGACGAUGACAAGAUAGCCUCUUUGACAAGGGACAUUGCUGUGGCUUAGAAUGGCUGUUUUCAAAUCAACUUUAACAAGCACUCAGCGGGCCUUUUCUCGCUCUUGUAUCCCUUUUCUUCCUGUCCAAGAAAAUGGAUCUAUCCCAAGGAUAAUUCCAAAAACACCAGAAAACAGGAUCAAGAUGUUGGCUGUAGUUGUUGUGGUCGUGGGACUGUCCACUUCCACCUUCUGUAGCAGGAAACUCUCAUGUGAAAAACAAGACUGUAAUCCACUCAAAAGGCUAUUCUUAUCACAGCAACAAGCCAAGGAUCACCGUAUCAGUAGUGAAAAUGCAAAAGACUAUCCUGUAGCCAUUGGAGUGAAGGAGUAGAAAUUAAAGCAACAGAAAACAUGUAAUCAAGGCUUUUAAAGGGCUGUGCUUAGUCAAAAGGAAACUUCCAAACUGCAAACAGACAUGUCAGCAUAUUCUUCUAAAUCUUCCACAGAUGCCUGAACCUGAGAAAAUGCUGUUGGGGAACAUUUUGUCUGAACUUCUGGUAGAGGACUGGACCAGUAGUUGGAUCAGAGUUCAUUUGAUAGCCAUCAGAAAUAAGUUGGAAGAUUUAGUAAAGGUCAUAUAGAUAUCUGUUACAGGAAUGAGUCCUUGAAUGUAAAUUGAAACGCUGUUAAAGAAUAUGCUGAUCUGUUCAAACCUUUCGACUCGACUUAUUACUUAAACGUUACAUUUUGUAAUUUAUUAAUAAGUGUUUGAUGAAGUCCCAUUCUCAAUGUUAAUUUGUAAGCAUAAAUGCUUACACUAUUUCGAAAGGGUUUUCGAGGAGAAGAAAUGGUAAAGGUAUUCUUCUAGCAUGCAGCAUUUUAUAUAGGCCUCUUCCUCAAGAUCUGUUACUAAGCGAUAUAUUUUGAUGAUAAUGUAAACCUGAAUGGCCUCAUGUGAUAGAAUGGUAAUGACAGGAAGUUGUAAGAUAUAAAUGUUUACAUUUUAAAAAUAUAUAAAGUAGAACUUAAGUUGAAGUUUUACAACUUUUCUGUUUAAAUUGAACGUCUUCAUUUACUGAUGAAAUUAGAACUUUAAAAUGAUUUCACAUUUAUUUAUUGAUAGUACCCAUAACCAAUGCCAAUGGAUCGAUGUGCACAACAAGUGAUUUGAAAUAUAUUUUACUUGUUUUUAAAAAGCAUUCUCUGUAUUUUCUGUGAACAUACCCAGAUAAUGCUAAUAAUAGAUUUGCAUCAUGUUAAAUACAUUUUUCCUUUAGUUUCACGCAAAUUCUAUAUCGGAUGUAAAAUAGAAAUGUUUCUAGUUAUAGUUGCAUUUAAUGUGUAGAAAAUACUAUGCCAACCAUUUAUUCAAAGACAUAGUUAAGGUCUAUUUGGACUUGUGUUGUUAGAUCAAGAUUUAUUUGACUUGUUCAUAUUAAUAUAUACAGAUCUUACCAUGCAAGCUUGUAGCUCUGGAUGCUGACUCCUCGGAGUAAAGAACUUGUCUGUCUAAAGUAACAUUGACAAAGAAGUUUUAUCGCGGGACUGAUUGUAUAAUUGAAGUGUGAUAGAAUGUGUGAAGUGUGGAUGAAUUGAUUGGCAAACAGACUGAAAGUUGUAAAGAUGAAUACUUUAUAAAAUUUUCUUGUUUCCCAAUAACCCUGUGAUUUAUUUACUGAAUGUUCAAACACGUAUAUAUUUAUAUCUAUUAUUCAAGUGUGUUUGUAGUGGUUCUGAUAACAUUUAUUUUUAGUGUUUCAACAUAAUUUAUUAUAUGGUUCCAACAAAAACCAUCUGUUUUUAUGUCAAACCUUAAAAUAUAUAGUCAGGCCAAAGUAGUUUGUCAUGUUGAACCUUGCAUGGAAUAUUCAUAAUAUCAGGCAAUCAUUUUUCAUUGUUGAUUGUUUUAAGCGCAUGAAUUACAGCAUGCACAUCCCAGAUAUCACAUUGGUUUAUACUUAUUUCACCUGUAUCAAAUUGGACAAUUGUUUGAACAAUACCUAUCCGUACAUGUCCUAUAUAUGCUGCCUAUAUGAAUAUUGACUCUCCUGUUAACAAUAUGUUAAUAAGAGAUCAACAUGCCAACUCACUGGUCUGGUUAUUUUGUUGUUGUUUUUUUUUUUAACUCUAAUCAUGUGUGCAUGAAUAGGUAAUUAGAGGUGUGGUUUUAAUAAGUUGUCUGUAACUGAUAUGAAAUAUCUGUUGGAUGUUUAUUUGUGAUACAAUUCGCGAUCGUUCAGAAAUUAGUGUCAUAUAAAGUGUGUUACAUAAUCUGUAUUUUAAGUUCAAUUUGUUAUAUUGGAGUCCGUUUUUAAGUCGAACCUAAUGAAAUAAUUCCACUUAUGACACUAUCAGGUAAUAGAUUGAAGAAGAUUUGAAACUUUACACUUUAUUACAUAAUGUGGUUUGAAUCUUGAUUAUGGACCUUUUAGUGAAAAGGAGAUGUCCAUCUCAGCUAAGUUGACACAAUCGGGCUGUUAUCUGUCCAUUGAAAAAGGUCCGCAAUCAAAAGUGUUCUGCCUUUGUCUCGUGAAAGGCUUUAAUAGUGGAUGUUAAACCUGUCAAUAAUACAGUAAUAAUUAUUUUCUGCUGGACUGAGUUUCUUAUCCCCCCAAUAUACCUGUCCUUGUCCUAACUACAGAUUGGAUUUAUUAAUUAUUCUAUAUAUUUGAUAAUAUUGGUUGCAUGGAUACUCUAUUGUUAAUUUUGUUUUUAUGCAGUGAGGAGGAAAAAUGAAUUAGCAAAAUGAACAAUAGGUAUAUUUGUGUAGGCAUGUUUAAUAUGAUUUCUUUAUUUUCAAACAUUAAAUCACCAAGUUAUUUAAAUGUCAUCCCUUGCUAUUUUCUCAGAAUUUGAUUUAAAAAAAUAUUGUUUGUAUUGUUAUGGUGGAUUAAUUGUUUAUGAUUAUAUUCCUGCCACAUUGUCUCUGUAACCUCUGUAUAUGUAUCAAAUAUGAGAAUUUAGGUCCAUCUGUAGGCAAUGUUAUGGGUCUGACUAAAGACUUUAAACAUUAUGCAGACGUGUAAUAAGAUGUAUUUAUCAUCAGUUGAAAUGUCGUUCUGUAUAAAGUUAAUUGUGUAUUAUUUUCAAUGCUUUGUUUUAUUUUAUUGUUGAAUAAAAUUUUAAACAUGACA